GUGAUUUUGGGUGACGAAGUUGACGAAACACGGUGACAAGGUACGCGAGAGCAGAGGAGGGGCGAUCUGAUCAUCUUCACUGUCGUCGGAGCUCCACCAACCAUCGGGGAUAAAGGGUUUCCCUUCCUAAUCCACUCUAUCCAGCUCCGAUGUUCCAUCUCCCAUUCCAUCAUCAUCCAUUGCGAGAGAAGGAGGCUUUUACUUUCAUCUUCGGCAUGCUUCAUGAUUGCGUCCUUCUUCUUUUUCAUUGAUUCCAUUUCUGACACAUAUCCUCUACACAUCAGAUUGCCGCCGAUUUCCUUAUUUUUGCCUCUCUACAAAUCCAAUCCGAAACUAGCUUAGGAAUGCCCUUGUUUGAAUUCCAGAACAGUUGCAGAAUUCCGGAUUCCUGAUUCAGCAGCAGAUUUCAGAGAUCAACUUUUAUGAAUUUAGUAUCAGAAUUUAGAUUCUUGAAUUUGAUUCGUUUUGCAGCACCAGUAACUUGGUAGUGGAAGAUUCUUUUGGAUUUAAUUUCUGAUUAGCAACCUGCAAACAACUUGAUAUGCCACAAUUUCUUCAAGUGAUUUCCUUUUAAUGAAUUUUCCUGCAUUUCAGUUC